rnacentral:rRNA from 1 species
GACGAACGCUGGCGGCGUGCCUAAUACAUGCAAGUCGAACGCAGAGGGAGGAGCUUUCUUCUCUGGAUGAGUUGCGAACGGGUGAGUAACGCGUGGGUAACCUGCCCGUUAGCGGGGGAUAACUAUUGGAAACGAUGGCUAAUACCGCAUAACAGUUGAUGUCGCAUGAUAUCUACUUGAAAGUUGCAGUUGUAUCACUACCAGUUGGACCUUCGGCGGUUUAGGUAGUUGGUGGGGUAACGGCUCACUAAGGCGACGAUACAUCGCCGACAGGAGAGGGGGGUCGGCCAGCCUGAGAGUGAGACCCGGCACAGACGCCUUCGGGAAGGGGCAGUAGGGAAACGUGGGGAAGGGGCGGAAGUCUUACCGAGCAACGCCGAGUGAGUAAAGAAGGUUGUCGGGUCCGAAAGCACGGUUGUCAGGGAAGAAAGAGUGUGAGAGUGGAACGUUCACAGUGUGACGGUAACUGAUCAGAAAGGGACGGCUAACUACGUG